UACGUAGGGUGCGAGCGUUGUCCGGAAUUAUUGGGCGUAAAGAGCUUGUAGGCGGUUUGUCGCGUCUGCCGUGAAAAUUCGAGGCUCAACCUCGAACUUGCGGUGGGUACGGGCAGACUAGAGUGUGGUAGGGGAGACUGGAAUUCCUGGUGUAGCGGUGAAAUGCGCAGAUAUCAGGAGGAACACCGGUGGCGAAGGCGGGUCUCUGGGCCGUUACUGACGCUGAGGAGCGAAAGCGUGGGGAGCAAACAGG
rnacentral:rRNA from 1 species